AAGAUUGAUCUCACCAUAAGCGAUUACUGCAAGCACCAGAUCAUGAAUCGUUGAAACUUCAAAAGGGUGAUAGAUUUGAUAGUACAUCAAAAUACUCGUCACUUGUACAGCCAAGGUUGUUUUUUAGUUCCUCCGCCAUGACAAAGUUGUCCUAAUCCAAUGACAUAAUCUUCUAGAGUUACCAUUAACACCAAAAAAUUUCUCCUUGAUUGGCUUUAAUCAUUCACCAUUUUUUCUCCAUUCAGAAAUAUUGGAAGCUGAGUUUUUGCACUGAUAUUUGACUAUGGGAAAUGCUUCUUCAAUGUUAACUCAAUACGAUAUUGAAGAUGUCCAGGAGCAGUGCAACCAUCUGUUUACUCAGCAGGAAAUAGUGUCACUGUAUGAAAGGUUCUGCCAACUUGAUAGGAAUUCAAAGGGUUUUAUCUAUGCUGAUGAGUUCCUGUCAGUACCGGAGUUUGCAAUGAAUCCGCUCUCUCAGAGAUUACUUAAGAUGGUGGACGGCUUGAAUUUCAAAGACUUCGUGGCAUUUUUGUCAACUUUCAGUGCAAAAGCGAGCAUGCAACAGAAAAUUGAACUUAUCUUCAAAGUUUAUGAUUCUGACUGCAAUGGGAAAGUGAUGUUCGAUGGCAUUAUAGAAGUGCUUCGGGAUUUAACUGGAUCAUUCAUUUCAGACAAGCAAAGAGAGGAAGUGCUGAACCAAGUUUUGCAUGAGGCUGGCUAUACAAGGGACUCCUUAUUGCUCUUGGAUGAUUUCAUCCAGAUACUGGACCACCCAGGCAUGAAGAUGGAGGUGGAAGUUCCAAUUGACUAGCUAAGCCAGCAGUUACCUAUACUAUAAUUUAGAUGUAUCGUUGUAGAAGCACAUGCUUGUGUUUUCUAUUCUCUUUCUUCAAUUUCGUGACCUGAGCUUUCCUCUUCUUUUUGUGUGUGUCUUCUUUUCGGGUUGAGGGACGGGGCGAUCAGCCACAUAGGUGAUGGGAUGCUGGAAAGCGGAAACCACCAUGAACGGAAACAGAGUAAGCACUUUAAGCAGGAAUUAGGAAUAUUUGCCAGUGGCCCGUUUUAGAGCCUAAAAAAUGGCAGCCCAAUACACAAGGCAUCUCGCGUUCACGCAGGGUCUGAGAAAGAGCCGCACCUCAAGGGGUGUGAUGUAGACAGCCUACCCGUGACACAUUUUAGAGCCUCAUGGUUAAUAUUUGCACAUUGGAUCUACAAAGAACGUUAGUCUACUAAAGCCUUCAGGAUUAGUAAGGACUAAGGAUAUUUGAAGAAAUGUCUUCAAACGGCUACAACAACAAUAACAGCAUACCCAGUGCGAUCCCAAAAGUGAGAUUUGGGGAGGAUAUGAUAUACGCAGACCUUUCUCUAUUUUGUGUGAGGUAGAAAGGAUGUUUCCGAUGAUAUCUUCGAAUUGCUGAAUGAAAGAACCGUAUAUAUGUAAAAGUGUUAUUUAAAUUAUGCUUGUUCUUUUGCAGAAGCAGAUCCUGAACUUACAAUUAGCGAGUUUCGACUAUGACAGUUUGAUAUAUAAACUUUCCUACAUAUACAUACAUGAUCCAAGUCAAAAACAGUGUGUUGUUAAAAUCGCUGUAAAAA